AUUGAACGCUGGCGGCAGGCCUAACACAUGCAAGUCGAGCGGAUGAAGGGAGCUUGCUCCUGGAUUCAGCGGCGGACGGGUGAGUAAUGCCUAGGAAUCUGCCUGGUAGUGGGGGAUAACGUCCGGAAACGGGCGCUAAUACCGCAUACGUCCUGAGGGAGCAAGUGGGGGAUCUUCGGACCUCACGCUAUCAGAUGAGCCUAGGUCGGAUUAGCUAGUUGGUGGGGUAAAGGCCUACCAAGGCGACGAUCCGUAACUGGUCUGCGAGGAUGAUCAGUCACACUAGAACUGAGACACGGUCCAGACUCCUACGGGAGGCAGCAGUGGGGAAUAUUGGACAAUGGGCGAAAGCCUGAUCCAGCCAUGCCGCGUGUGUGAAGAAGGUCUUCGGAUUGUAAAGCACUUUAAGUUGGGAGGAAGGGCAGUAAGUUAAUACCUUGCUGUUUUGACGUUACCAACAGAAUAAGCACCGGCUAACUUCGUG
rnacentral:rRNA from 1 species